rnacentral:sRNA from 1 species
UCGAGUUCGUCCGAGUGGACGGGAAGC